GUUCGGACACGCGAAAACACAGUCCCGGUUGGUAGUCCGGGCCGUACCCGUCCGGGUGCGCAGUAACCUCCCCCUCCCGGGGUGUCCGGCGUGUCCCUUCCAGAU
rnacentral:ncRNA from 1 species